rnacentral:rRNA from 1 species
GACGUAGGGCGCGAGCGUUGUCCGGAUUUAUUGGGCGUAAAGAGCUCGUAGGCGGCUUGUCGCGUCGGCUGUGAAAACCCGUGGCUCAACUGUGGGCGGGCAGCUGAUACGGGCAGGCUGGAGUUCGGUGAGGGGAGACUGGAAUUCCUGGUGUAGCGGUGAAAUGCGCAGAUAUCAGGAGGAACACCGGUGGCGAAGGCGGGUCUCUGGGCCGAUACUGACGCUGAGGAGCGAAAGCGUGGGGAGCGAACAGG